AGAUAUGGAUUUCAGGAUUUUAAGAGCACGC
rnacentral:piRNA from 1 species